UAAAUAUUAAUAGAUAUAAAUUGGGGUGAUCCUCAGUAAUUUCUGACACUAAAUCUUAAGGAUUUUGACCAGGUAAUGAGAAGACAAGGCUCAUAGAAAAGACCCUGAUAUUGGUAAAAACUGAAGACAAAAGGAAAAGGGAUUGGCAAAGGAUGAGAUGGAUUGAUAGUGUUACAGAAGCAACAAGCAUGAGCUUGGACAGACUUUGGGAGAUGGUAGAGGAUAUAAGAGCCUGGAGUGCUAUAGUCCACGGGAUCAUGAAGAGUCAGUCAAGACUGAAGAACCACCAUAAUUUAUAACAGUGUAAGGGGUUCUUUGACCACAAAGUUUGAGAACUACUAUCAGAAAAUGGAUUAGAGAUGGAUUAGGCAGGGUAGCCAAUUAGGCAACCAUAAUAUUACAAAUAAGAUAUAAUAAGGGCAUGAGAUAAGAAAAUGGUGGUGUGAGUGGAGAAAAGAAUAUAAGUUUGAAAGAUGUCCUAGAUGUAGAAAUCAAUCUGGCAACUUAAUGGGAAUAUAGAGUGAAUGAGGAGUUGAAGACAGGUCUGAAAUUGUGAACCUGUGACUGGAAGGACAAUAGAAACAAUGUAUAGAAAUCACCACCACACCAUUUUUCUCUCACUUGAGCUCAAGUAGAAAUGAUUUCAACAUGAUUCUUGUAAAGGAUUUGCAUUAAAGUAUUUUCUGAGCUUUUGACAGGGAUGUUUUUGGCAAGAACUAAUAAAAAAGGAUAUAUCUUAGUUCAAACAUUAUUUUUUCAGGACCUUAUAUGCCAGAACCACAAUUUAUAAACAAUGGGCAACAUACGGUGGGAGUUUGAAAUCAAGAACAUUUUUCACUGAAUAUCUUGCGUGAACACCAAGCUGAAAAAUUUAAUAGUUCCCAGAUGUUAUAUAGUUUGAUCUAGUUUUCUCCAUGACAUGAUUAACCUUUAUCCAGUUAACAUUAAACAGAUCCCCUGUGCUGAGAGUCUCAUACUGUAAAUGAAAUUUCAACAAAUGUAAAAAUGACUCUUUAAGAAAAUAGAGGUUGCCAAGAACACAAAGUAGAAUUAAUGAAAGAAUUAAUUGCACAUAAAUUAUUUCAAAUAAAAAUCGUAAAAUACAACUGCUGAGAUUCUGCUUCAGUUCAAUAGGAAACUAUGAUGAUGUCUUUUUCAUUGUUCUAGUCUAUGAGUUUAAUGAGUUCAUGAGUUCAAUAUCUUUGUCCCAAAGUAAAUAUUUCAGAAAGGUCCUCCUCUCCUUCAACUUGCCUACCUCUACUAUACCAUUAUCAUUUUAUUGUGAGUCACCUCUUAGUGCCACAUCCAGUUUAAUAUUCUUCUCCCCUUCUAAGCUUCUCUGCUUCUCUAUUCACCAUGAAGCCAAGAUCCCAAAGGAACAACAAUAUAAAGGACUUCAGAGAUCAUCAAGACAAAUGAGAAAACUGAAGGACCCCAGACUGUCUGAAGCCUGGAAUGUUCUAGAAUUCUGGUUGGGAAUGAGGACUGGAAUUGUUAUUUCAUUGAUCUAGGGAACUCUCGGGAAUUGGACCAGAUAAUCUCUCAAGUUUAUUACAUGUCUAAAAUAUGGUAAUUUAAAAAGAAGAAAUGAAUAUCAAAAGAUCAUUUGCCAUUCUACUUGGACCUGAAAAGAGAUUUUCCUUUGACCAGUAGAUGUCACUACAGCCAUACAAAGUCAAGUUUAUUCCAGUUUACUCUUAAGUGGAACAUCUUUAAAUGCUUACACUCAUCCAUUGUGGAAAAGAUCUGUCUCUGUUGCUAGAGAAGCCCUUGAAGACAGGUGCAUUCAGAGGUCAGACCACACCAUUCAUGCUAUCCCUGAAGUGAAAGACCUGAAUACCUACUAUAUGUUCCAGACAUCUAUGGAUUCAUUGAUGUAGAUCUACCCUCCACUGAUUCAGUUUGUGAUGUCUCCCUCUUAGAGAGUGUUUUCCUGAGUUGUUAUGGAUGAAUAAUUUUGCCUUGUUCUGAAGCUUUCUGGUGCUGAGCUCUUCACAUUUAGCUUGGCUGGUUUCCAGAUCCCAGACACAUAUGCUCCAUUGCAAGACCUAUUCUUAAAGCCCUUCCCACUUGGUAGGACCUGCCAACCCCUGUGUUUUGCCCUUAUAACUUUCAAAAAUUCAGGGUCACCCUGAUGUGAUGGUAAGACAUCGGAGAAGGACUUUUGUGGAAAUUCAGAUAAAUAAUUCAGAUUCAGAUAAAUAAAAUAGAAGGUACAUUUCACUACCAUAGUAAUCUGGAGAUAGAACUAAUAAUAAUACUUCAACACUAAUAUAGCUAAGUAUUUCAGUGCUGGUUUUGUCUUACAUCAAGAGAGUCUAGUAUAUUUUAAAUGCCACAAGGAGGUCUGCUUUAGGGAAAAGAAAUCAAUAAGUAUGCCUUUAAGGGACCACUAUGUGGAGGGGGGGUAGCAUGAUGUUGUGGAAAUAGAGCUAGAUUUGGAGAGAGAAGACCCUCGUCUGAGAACUGGCUCUGAAGUUUACUCUAGUACUUUGGGAAGUCACUUUACUUCUUGAAGCCUCAGCUUCCAUGCCUUCAAAAUGACAAUAAGAAUACUUGCAUGAGCUACCUCAUAGAGUUACUAUGAGGAAAAUACUUUCUAACUUGUAAAGUGCAAUGAAAGAGUGGGAUAUUAGGGUAAGGAGCUAGAGGAAGGAGACCAUGUAAAUAAAGGCAUGGGCAUGACAACAUGGAUGUAUUAAACAAAACAGUGUUAAGCUUUUACAAUGUGACUAUCACAUUGUUUUAGAGUUUUGUUUAGGAUACAAAGAAAAGUAUGAAAUUUUCUCUGAAAUGGCCAAGAAUCACAUAG